UAUCGAUACAUACACUAUAUUAUGUAAGCUCACUCAUAUACAUCAUUUAUCGACAUAUUCUUACGUGUGUAUACAUAAAUUUAAUAUAUACAUAUGUUUGCACUCAUUAUCAGCAUACACAACACAUAUUGAAAACUUAUAUACACCUAUACACAUCCAAACACUCAUACAUAUGCGUAUUAAGACACCUAUGCACUUCAGUC
rnacentral:lncRNA from 1 species